rnacentral:rRNA from 1 species
ACGAUCAGUAGGGGUUCUGAGAGGAAGGUCCCCCACAUUGGAACUGAGACACGGUCCAAACUCCUACGGGAGGCAGCAGUGAGGAAUAUUGGUCAAUGGGCGAGAGCCUGAACCAGCCAAGUAGCGUGCAGGAUGACGGCCCUAUGGGUUGUAAACUGCUUUUGUAUGGGGAUAAAGUCAAUCACGUGUGAUUGUUUGCAGGUACCAUACGAAUAAGGACCGGCUAAUUCCGUGCCAGCAGCCGCGGUAAUACGGAAGGUCCGGGCGUUAUCCGGAUUUAUUGGGUUUAAAGGGAGCGUAGGCUGGAGAUUAAGUGUGUUGUGAAAUGUAGACGCUCAACGUCUGACUUGCAGCGCAUACUGGUUUCCUUGAGUACGCACAACGUUGGCGGAAUUCGUCGUGUAGCGGUGAAAUGCUUAGAUAUGACGAAGAACUCCGAUUGCGAAGGCAGCUGACGGGAGCGCAACUGACGCUGAAGCUCGAAGGUGCGGGUAUCGAACAGGAUUAGAUACCCUGGUAGUCCGCACAGUAAACGAUGGAUGCCCGCUGUUGGUACUUGGUAUCAGCGGCUAAGCGAAAGCAUUAAGCAUCCCACCUGGGGAGUACGCCGGCAACGGUGAAACUCAAAGGAAUUGACGGGGGCCCGCACAAGCGGAGGAACAUGUGGUUUAAUUCGAUGAUACGCGAGGAACCUUACCCGGGCUUGAAUUGCAGAGGAAGGAUUUAGAGAUAAUGACGCCCUUCGGGGUCUCUGUGAAGGUGCUGCAUGGUUGUCGUCAGCUCGUGCCGUGAGGUGUCGGCUUAAGUGCCAUAACGAGCGCAACCCUUGUUGUCAGUUACUAACAGGUUCCGCUGAGGACUCUGACAAGACUGCCAUCGUAAGAUGUGAGGAAGGUGGGGAUGACGUCAAAUCAGCACGGCCCUUACGUCCGGGGCUACACACGUGUUACAAUGGGGGGUACAGAAGGCCGCUACCCGGCGACGGGAUGCUAAUCUUUAAAACCUCUCUCAGUUCGGAUCGGAGUCUGCAACCCGACUCCGUGAAGCUGGAUUCGCUAGUAAUCGCGCAUCAGCCAUGGCGCGGUGAAUACGUUCCCGGGCCUUGUACACACCGCCCGUCAAGCCAUGAAAGCCGGGGGUGCCUGAAGUCCGUGACCGCAAGGAUCGGCCUAGGGCAAAACUGGUGAUUGGGGCUAAGUCGUAACAAGGUAGCCGUACCGGAAGGUGCGGCUG